rnacentral:rRNA from 1 species
UCGAGAAUUUUUCACAAUGGGCGCAAGCCUGAUGGAGCGACGCCGCGUGGGGGAUGAAUGGCUUCGGCCCGUAAACCCCUGUCAUUUGCGAUCAAACCUUGCUAUUUAAAAGAUGGCGAGCUGAUAGUAGCGAAAGAGGAAGGGACGGCUAACUCUGUGCCAGCAGCCGCGGUAAUACAGAGGUCCCAAGCGUUGUUCGGAUUCACUGGGCGUAAAGGGUGCGUAGGUGGUGGGGUAAGGCGGAUGUGAAAUCUCGGAGCUCAACUCCGAAAUGGCAUUGGAAACUACCCUGCUAGAGGGUCGGAGGGGGGACUGGAAUUCUCGGUGUAGCAGUGAAAUGCGUAGAUAUCGAGAGGAACACCAGUGGCGAAGGCGAGUCCCUGGACGACUCCUGACACUGAGGCACGAAAGCUAGGGGAGCAAACA